AUUGAACGCUGGCGGCAGGCCUAACACAUGCAAGUCGAACGAGUGGCGGACGGGUGAGUAAUGUCUGGGAAACUGCCCGAGGGAGGGGGAUAACUACUGGAAACGGUAGCUAAUACCGCAUACCAUCGGAUGUGCCCAGAUGGGAUUAGCUAGUAGGUGGGGUAACGGCUCACCUAGGCGACGAUCCCUAGCUGGUCUGAGAGGAUGACCAGCCACACUGGAACUGAGACACGUUCCAGACUCCUACGGGGGGCAGCGGUGGGAAAAUUGGCACAAUGGGCGCAAGCCUGAUGCAGCCAUGCCGGGUGUAUGAAGAGGGCCUUCGGGUUGUAAAGUACUUUCAGCGAGGAGACGUUACUCGCAGAAGAAGCACCGGCUAACUCCGUGCCAGCAGCCGCGGUAAUC
rnacentral:rRNA from 1 species